AUUGAACGCUGGCGGCAUGCCUUACACAUGCAAGUCGAACGGUAACAGGUCUUCGGAUGCUGACGAGUGGCGAACGGGUGAGUAAUACAUCGGAACGUGCCUAGUAGUGGGGGAUAACUACUCGAAAGAGUGGCUAAUACCGCAUGAGAUCUACGGAUGAAAGCAGGGGAUCGCAAGACCUUGUGCUACUAGAGCGGCCGAUGGCAAAUUAGGUAGUUGGUGGGAUAAAAGCUUACCAAGCCGACGAUCUGUAGCUGGUCUGAGAGGACGAUCAGCCACACUGGGACUGAGACACGGCCCAGACUCCUACGGGAGGCAGCAGUGGGGAAUUUUGGACAAUGGGCGAAAGCCUGAUCCAGCAAUGCCGCGUGCAGGAUGAAGGCCGUCGGGUUGUAAACUGCUUUUGUCCGGAACGAAAAGCCCCGGGUUAAUACCCUGGGGUCAUGACGGUACCGUAAGAAUAAGCACCGGCUAACUACGUGCCAGCCGCCGCGGUAA
rnacentral:rRNA from 1 species